CCUACGGUGCGGCAGCAGUGGGGAAUAUUGGACAAUGGGCGAAAGCCUGAUCCAGCCAUGCCGCGUGUGUGAAGAAGGCCUUCGGGUUGUAAAGCACUUUCAGUGGGGAAGAAAGCCUUGGGGCUAAUACCCUCGAGGAAGGACAUCACCCACAGAAGAAGCACCGGCUAACUCCGUGCCAGCAGCCGCGGUAAUACGGAGGGUGCGAGCGUUAAUCGGAAUUACUGGGCGUAAAGCGCGCGUAGGCGGUCUGAUAAGCCGGUUGUGAAAGCCCCGGGCUCAACCUGGGAACGGCAUCCGGAACUGUCAGGCUAGAGUGCAGGAGAGGAAGGUAGAAUUCCCGGUGUAGCGGUGAAAUGCGUAGAGAUCGGGAGGAAUACCAGUGGCGAAGGCGGCCUUCUGGACUGACACUGACGCUGAGGUGCGAAAGCGUGGGUAGCAAACAGGAUUAGAUACCCGGGUAGUC
rnacentral:rRNA from 1 species